CCCGCCUCAGAAACUACAAAUGAAUUGACGGGGGCCCGGCACAAGCGGUGGAGUAGUGUGGUUUAAUUUCGAUGCAACGCGAAGAACCUUACCUGGUCUUGACAUCCCGGAGACCCUUAGGAAACUAGGGGUGCUUCCAUCUGGAAGAAUCUGGAGACAGGUGCUGCAUGGCUGUCGUCAGCUCGUGUCGUGAGAUGCUGGGUUAAGUCCGUAACGAGCGCAACCCUUGUCCUUAGUUACCAGCACGUUAUGGUGGGCACUCUAAGGAGACUGCCGGUGACAAACCGGAGGAAGGCGGGGAUGACGUCAAAUCAGCACGGCCCUUACGUCCAGGGCUACACACGUGCUACAAUGGUCGGUACAAAGGGUUGCCAAGCCGCGAGGUGGAGCUAAUCCCAUAAAACCGAUCGUAGUCCGGAUCGCAGUCUGCAACUCGACUGCGUGAAGUCGGAAUCGCUAGUAAUCGUGAAUCAGAAUGUCACGGUGAAUACGUUCCCGGGCCUU
rnacentral:rRNA from 1 species